UAGCAUCUUAGCUGCUUCCGGCCGCUGGUCGCAGGGCUGCGGGACUACAAUCUUCGCAUGAAAUGGAAGAGAGGGUGGUGCGGAUAGCUUGAGGAAGGUCUCGCAUCUGGGGCUCGAUCUCGUGCAGAGGAGCAUUUCCGAAGACACUGGCCGCUCCCACAAUGGCUCCGAAGAACCCAGCGACCAGCGGGUUCAUGAGUUUGUUGGGGCUGUCCACUCGGUACCAGCUGCGCAGGGAUGUCAGGACAAAGAAACAAGUUGCCUGGUUCCAGCCCUGCUUCAGCACGGGGCCUGUGGGGCCCCGGUAAGUCCCGGUGUUCCCGCACAAUCUCCUAACCCUGUGGAAGAAUCCCCUGUACUUGGAUUUGGAGAGGUCUGGCCAUGGAUUAACUUCACCUUGAUGGUCUCCAUGGGACAUAGGACCACCACGGCCUCGGCCACGCUAGCUCACUGGCCGCACCGCUGCCCGCCUUGCUGUUCACCAGUCCCUGGGCAUCCCGCAUCUGGUUGCUGAGGAACGCCUGACGCCGCCUUGUGGAUGAAGCCGCAGAGCAGGGAGCUGAGGCUGCGGCCCAGGCCCAGGCUGCCUUGGCUGCGACUGUGUGCCUGCAGGCCCCAUGCCCGGUAUCCGGUGGAUGCGAGUGCUAGUCCAGCUGCAGCUGCAUCUUCACGAACUCGGCUGGAGUGCAGUGGCGCGAUCUUGGCUCACUACAACCUGGAUUCAAGCGAUUCUCCUGCCUCAGCCUCCCGAGUAGCUGGGAUUACAGGCAUGUGCCACCAUUCCCGGCUAAUUUUUUUGUCUUUUUAGUAGAGACGGUGUUUCCCCAUGUUGGUCAGGCUGGUCUCAAACGCCUGACUCAGAUGAUCCGCCCGCCUCGGCCACCCAAAGUGCUGAGAUUACAGGCUUGAACCACCGCGCCUGGCCCUGUGAUGUAGAUUUUGAUGCUGCCAGCCAGGCUGCCUGCCGGGAUCGCCUGCCCUGGAGCAGGAGCAUCAGCCGUGCGUUCCAGGACGCAGGCAUGGCAUGACCGGCAGGAGGCGGAGUGCCCGGCGUCUCUUGGGAUCGGAGCCUCCUGAAUUCCACGCUGGGACCUUAAUUUGGUUUUAACACAAAUAAAGAUCUCACAUAAAGAUAAA
rnacentral:lncRNA from 1 species